UGGUGAUGAUGGCGAAGAGGUCCCACCCGUACCCAUGCCGAACACGGAAGUUAAGCUCUUCAGCGCCGAUGGUAAUGGGGUCAAGCGCCCUGUGAGCGUAGGACGUUGCCA
rnacentral:rRNA from 1 species